UACGUAGGGGGCAAGCGUUAAUCGGAAUUACUGGGCGUAAAGCGUGCGCAGGCGGUUGUGCAAGACAGAUGUGAAAUCCCCGGGCUAAACCUGGGGAACUGCAUUUGUGACUGCACAGCUGGAAUGCGGCAGAGGGGGAUGGAAUUCCGCGUGUAGCAGUGAAAUGCGUAGAUAUGCGGAGGAACACCGAUGGCGAAGGCAAUCCCCUGGGCCUGCACUGACGCUCAUGCACGAAAGCGUGGGGAGCAAACAGG
rnacentral:rRNA from 1 species